GUCCCCAAGAUUUAAAUAUACACUCAAUAAGUCAUAAAACAUCAUUUAAAAAUACUGAAAUGAUGUGAAAAUCUUUAUCAUUCCCCUCCUUUUCGUGCCCUGAUGGUACAUUCCAUGGUCAUGUGACCAGCUGUGGCGACACGGGACGUGACAGUUUUCUUGACUUAUUCAGGACAUGCAGUAUUCUUCAUAAUGAUGGUACGUGCUGAGUAAGGUGUGGAGCAGAAUGGACUCACAGGAAACUAUCCUUGUAUCAUGGGGGGGGGGGUUGACUAUCAGGAUGUGAGUGUACAGACUAUGGGAGGCAGUGCUGGGAUGGCCACUGUAUCACAUGAUGAAAAGACAAAA